rnacentral:rRNA from 1 species
CCUACGGGAGGCAGCAGUGGGGAAUAUUGCACAAUGGGGGAAACUCUGAUGCAGCGACGCCGCGUGAGCGAUGAAGUCUUUCUGUAUGUAAAGCUCUAUCAGCAGGGAAGAAAAUGACGGUACCUGACUAAGAAGCCCCGGCUAACUACGUGCCAGCAGCCGCGGUAAUACGGAGGGGGCAAGAGUUAUCCGGAUUUACUGGGUGUAAAGGGGGCGGAGACGGUUGUGCAAGCCAGAUGUGAAAGCCCGGGGCUCAACCCCGGAACUGCAUUUGGAACUGUGUGGCUGGAGUGUCGGAGAGGCAGGCGGAAUGCCUAGUGUAGCGGUGAAAUGCGUAGAUAUUAGGAGGAACACCAGUGGCGAAGGCGGCCUGCUGGACGAUGACUGACGUUGAGGCUCGAAAGCGUGGGGAGCAAACAGGAUUAGAUACCCGGGUAGUC